UGAAAAUGGACGUAGUUGCUUCAGUAACAAUUUCAGUAGCUAUACUUGUUGUGUCGUGGUGGACAUGGAGAACUUUAAAGUUGGUAUGGUAUAGACCAAAGAUGCUUGAGAGUUACCUGAGAAGACAAGGUCUCUCUGGUACUCCUUACACGCCUCUCGUCGGCGAUUUGAAAAGGAAUUUUAGUAUGAUGAUGGAGGCAAAAUCCAAACCCAUCAAACUAACGGAUGACAUUUCACCACGUGUCGUUCCUUUUCCCUUCGAAAUGCUCAAGAAUCAUGGUAUGUUAAAUUUUGUAUUGUUGGCCUCUUUGCUGUAGAGUAUCUGAUCAAGAAAAGGUCUAUAUUAAAUGUCCCACAUGGUCUAUGUAAAAGGUGACUUGACAAUAUAUAAAUGUUGUGGCAAUUCUUAUAAACAGUUUCAUACUUACUUAAGUAAGCAUGUAUGAGCGGCUCAUGUAUUUCCGAGAUAUAAAACUUUGAGUUAUUUCAAUUAGAUUAGGUUAUUGAACAAUGUAUAAGUGGUGUAUGUUGCUGAAACAGGAAGGACUUUCUUUACAUGGCUUGGAACUACACCAACAAUCACUAUAAUGGAUCCUGAGCACAUUAAGGAAGUGUUCAAAAAAAUUUACGAUUUUCAGAAGCCACAUACGUUCCCUUUAGGAGAUGUGAUAGCCAAGGGACUCGCUACUUAUGAUGGUGAGAAAUGGGCUAAACACCGGAGAAUCAUCAACCCGGCAUUCCACCUUGAGAAGAUCAAGGUUUUAGCUUCUUAAACCAUAACCUAGAAUGAACUUUAUAGUCCUUUAAGUAUGUGUGUUAUGUUCAAUUGGCUCUGUCCAACUUGUUCCUUCUACUUAUGUGUGUAGAAUAUGGUACCUGCGUUCCACCAAAGCUGCAGCGAGGUUGUUGCAUUUUGGUCCAUAUCUAUUUGGACAUGGGCCACCCAUUUAUAACCCACCCAUUUGACAUUACUAGGUACGAUAGGAUACAUACCUAUCAAUAUCGCUCCACACAAAUUGAAGUUCGCUUCUUUUGCCACGUGGCAUGUAACCUAAUCACAAAAUGUAUGGUACUAAAAGACUCAUGCGAUAUUAUUCGCCAACAUUCUCAAUCUAUAAAAUUUCAAGAAUAUUAGAAAACUCUCCAUCUCUCUGGGAGUGAAAAUGGACGUAGUUGCUUCAGUAACAAUUUCAGUAGCUAUACUUGUUGUGUCGUGGUGGACAUGGAGAACUUUAAAGUUGGUAUGGUAUAGACCAAAGAUGCUUGAGAGUUACCUGAGAAGACAAGGUCUCUCUGGUACUCCUUACACGCCUCUCGUCGGCGAUUUGAAAAGGAAUUUUAGUAUGAUGAUGGAGGCAAAAUCCAAACCCAUCAAACUAACGGAUGACAUUUCACCAC
rnacentral:lncRNA from 1 species